rnacentral:rRNA from 1 species
GACGAACGCUGGCGGCGUGCUUAACACAUGCAAGUCGAACGGAAAGGCCCUGCUUGCAGGGUACUCGAGUGGCGAACGGGUGAGUAACACGUGGGUGAUCUGCCCUGCACUUCGGGAUAAGCCUGGGAAACUGGGUCUAAUACCGGAUAGGAGCCAUUUUUAGUGUGAUGGUUGGAAAGUUUUUUCGGUGUAGGAUGAGCUCGCGGCCUAUCAGCUUGUUGGUGAGGUAAUGGCCUACCAAGGCGGCGACGGGUAGCCGGCCUGAGAGGGUGGACGGCCACAUUGGGACUGAGAUACGGCCCAGACUCCUACGGGAGGCAGCAGUGGGGAAUAUUGCACAAUGGGCGCAAGCCUGAUGCAGCGACGCCGCGUGGGGGAUGACGGCCUUCGGGUUGUAAACUCCUUUCGCUAGGGACGAAGCUUUUUGUGACGGUACCUAGAUAAGAAGCACCGGCUAACUACGUG